rnacentral:rRNA from 1 species
AGCAGCCGCGGUAAUUCCAGCUCCAAUAGCGUAUAUUAAAGUUGUUGCAGUUAAAAAGCUCGUAGUUGAAUUUCGGGGUCAGUAGGUCGGUCGUGCCACUGGUAUGAACUGGUCUCACUGAUUCCUCCUUCUUGAAGAACCGUAAUGUCAUUAACUUGGUGUUGCGGGGAAACAGGACUGUUACCUUGAAAAAAUUAGAGUGUUUAAAGCAGGCUAGCGCCUGAAUACAUUAGCAUGGAAUAAUGAAAUAGGACGUUCGAUCCUACUUUGUUGGUUUCUAGGAUUGACGUAAUGAUUAAUAGGGAUAGUUGGGGGCAUUAGUAUUCAAUUGUCAGAGGUGAAAUUCUUGGAUUUAUUGAAGACUAACUACUGCGAAAGCAUUUGCCAAGGAUGUUUUCAUUAAUCAAGAACGAAAGUUAGGGGAUCGAAGACGAUCAGAUACCGUCGUAG